AUUGAACACUGGCGGCAUGCCUUACACAUGCAAGUCGAGCGGAGAGAGGUAGCUUGCUACUGAUCUUAGCGGCGGACGGGUGAGUAAUGCUUAGGAAUCUGCCUAUUAGCGGGGGACAACAUUUCGAAAGGAAUGCUAAUACCGCAUACGUCCUACGGGAGAAAGCAGGGGAUCUUCGGACCUGGCGCUAAUAGAUGAGCCUAAGUCGGAUUAGCUAGUUGGUGGGGUAAAGGCCUACCAAGGCGACGAUCUGUAGCGGGUCUGAGAGGAUGAUCAGCCACACUGGGACUGAGACACGGGCCAGACUCCUACGGGAGGAAGCAGUGGGGAAUAUUGGAAAAUGGGCGCAAGCCGGAUCCAGCCAUGCCGCGUGUGUGAAGAAGGCCUUCGGGUUGUAAAGCACUUUCAGUAGGGAGGAAGCGUUGUGUGUUAAUAGUACACAGCGUUGACGUUACCUACAGAAGAAGCACCGGCUAACUCUGUGCCAGCCGCCGCCGUAAAAC
rnacentral:rRNA from 1 species